rnacentral:rRNA from 1 species
GACGAACGCUGGCGGCGCGCCUAACACAUGCAAGUCGAACGGAGCUGAGAGAAGCUUGCUUUUCUUAGCUUAGUGGCGAACGGGUGAGUAACGCGUGAGUAAUCUGCCCUGGAGUGGGGGACAACAGUUGGAAACGACUGCUAAUACCGCAUAAGCCCACGAUCCGGCAUCGGAUUGAGGGAAAAGGAUUUAUUCGCUUCAGGAUGGACUCGCGUCCAAUUAGCUAGUUGGUGAGGUAACGGCCCACCAAGGCGACGAUUGGUAGCCGGACUGAGAGGUUGAACGGCCACAUUGGGACUGAGACACGGCCCAGACUCCUACGGGAGGCAGCAGUGGGGGAUAUUGCACAAUGGGGGAAACCCUGAUGCAGCGACGCCGCGUGGAGGAAGAAGGUUUUCGGAUUGUAAACUCCUGUCGUUAGGGACGAUAAUGACGGUACCUAACAAGAAAGCACCGGCUAACUACGUG